rnacentral:lncRNA from 1 species
UUCCUAAGUAUGUGACUUUGUACAAGUUACUCAACCUCUCUGAGCCUCACUUUUCUCAUCCAUAAAACAGGAACCAUGACACCCACCUCACUGGGAUGAUUGUGUGGCAUAGAUGGGAUGCGCGUGAGGCGCCUGUCCAGUUGGCACUCAACAAUGUCAGAAUUCAGAGAAAAUGGGAAUCGUGCUGCUGUUUAUUAUUUUUUUCUUUUCUUCUGUCUCCAAAUUACAAUUCCAUCUUCAACCCACUGGGGUAGAUUUGCCUCAGGAGAGGUUCCAUUUGUCUUGUUCAGAUUUUCUUUCCCAGUGAGCAUAGCUGCCUAUUACCAUUGGUGCAGGUAAUGCUGGAAGGACAUUUCCGAGCAGCUUCGGGUGUGGAGGAGAAUUGAGUUCUGUGGCUACAACUGGCUCAGCCUAAGGAAACAGGGGAACCCAGACCACAGACUCGGGGCCUCUGGGUCAACCAGGACAUGAAGAAAGGCCCUGCCCCUGAGUGGAAUGGAGGACCAGGACCUGGACAGACAUGAGAUGUCAUUUUUAGCAGGAGCCACCUCUACUCGGCUCCAGGUGGUUGUGUGGACAUAGGGUAAGUGUGGUUCCCAGUCACUCACGAGAAGCUGAAAACCUGGAUUUUUAGAAAGUGAAAUUCCCAGAUUUUUUAAAACAGUGUGUCAAUUUGAAGUUUCUGGUAGAGAGAGAGAGAGACCCUAAAAUAACUCAGUAACUCAGUAUUUACUCAAAACAAUUCUAUGAAAUAGGUACUAUGAUUAUCCCAGUUGAGGAAACAGAGGCACAGAGAGGUUAAAUAAUAUCCCAAAGACAAAAAAGUAGAAGUGGAUUGGAGGAAGAGCCCAGCACAGGAGGGGUUAAAGGGGGAACUAUAGGCCCUUGUGUUGAAUAAGAGGAGACAGAGCCCAAUUUUUCUAUCAUAACAAUAAAUUGGCCCCAAAUUAAGCCAAUACCCAGUUCUUAUUGCUUCUGCAGAGAAUUAAUAAACCAUGGCAUCUUCUGAAAAUGGGGAAGCCAGCAGCUCAGAGAGAUGUCAGAAAGCUUUUUACGGGGCUGGAGAUGUUCUGCCUUAGCAAGUAAAAUGGUUGUGAUGGUUAUGCCACAAACAUGCAGAGAGGGGGAAACGGCAUGGGCUGCCCUGCCUGUGCCCAUUCCUGGCUCAGUUCAGAAGUGUGCCCACCAUGAGGAGCAAAUAUCUGCAGUAGCCGGCUCUCGGGGCGUUAAUGGCUGUGGCCUCCCAGAGAACACUCCGGAAUAUUUUAGGUUUAUAUUUUGCAGAUGGUGUGCCAAGUCAUUCCCUCAUUCGGCCUAUUAGAUGGUUAGUUUCCUUUUCCUAGUUAAAGGAUUAACUAGAAUUAUCAGUAAUCAUGAGCUUCCCCCCGAGGACGGGUCAAAGGAAAUUAAUGGAAACUGCAGCAAUAGAGACAUGGGUUAGUUCCACAGAAGGAAUUCCUGACUGGGAGAAUUAGCCCUGGCACAGGUUCCAAGGGGGUGGAAUUAGAACCCAUCGUGGAACCUAGGCAGAGCUGGAAACCCCUGCAGGCUCUGGCUCAGAAUGGAGGUUACAGGCAAAAAAGCAGAGUUAGGCGGUGAGGUGGGUUAAAUACUUCACCAUAAAAAGUUCCAGAAACUUGGAUCUGAAUGGGGGCCUUUGAAAUAUUUCAGCCUGACCUUUUCAUGUACAGAUGAGAAAACUGUGAUCCAGACCUGGCCAGUGACUUGCUAAGGGUCACACAGCUAAGUAACAGCAAAGGUAGAACGCAGGGCUCCAGUCCCUGCCAUGAUUCCCCAACUUGGAUCUAGUAAUGCUCUCUAUAGAUGAGACGACAGCCUUCUCAGCUUCUCGGUCCAUGGGACUAUAAAAUGGAAUGUUGGGCUUGGCACAUCACAAUGCAAUUGUCUAUUUACAAGUUUAUUCCCAGUCUCCAAUGGAGGUGAAUGCCCCAAGGAUGGGGACCAUGACUUCCUCAUCUUUGUCACUGGGUACCUUCCACAAGGCCUGACACAUAGCAGAUCUUCAGUUAAGAAAGAAAUGGAGAGAUAGUCCUGAACAGCUUUGGAGUCGUUGGCUCAUGGACAAAUUGGAUGAAGUGUUGGGAGAAGUCUGGGGGCCAGUCUGCCUUGGUUUUGCGGACAGAAAGAAGAGUGGGAUGGAUCUUAGUGCUGUCCUUAGAGGGCCAGGACAACAACUGGCCUCUGACCAAGAGCAGAGGAAGAACAUCCAGGUGGCUGAGCUCCUCGCCUUGAAAAUGUAAAGAUGACCAGCUGCUCAGGAGUUAGUGGAAGUCACAAUUUGUAAUUCAAUGAUGAAAGAAUGAGGCUUUAUCAAGUUAAAACAAAAGUGGAUGCAUUGUUCACUUUUGCUGCUACUAAUGGGGCAUUUCCAGGUGCCAUCCACUGUGCCAGGGCUUGGCAUGCUUUGCCUCCUUAUUCCUCAGGGCAAGCUGGUAAGGUGGGUGGAGCUACCAGUCAGCUUCUUGGUAGUGACAGAAACCAACUCUGGGUGGUUUCAGCACAAAAGCAAUUUACUAAGAGGAUAUUGGGCAUCUCAGAGAAUGACAGGGAGUGUUCAGAAAAUGAGCAGGAGACAGGGGAAGCCAAGACCUGGUUCUAAAUCAUAACACCACAACUGCCACUGCCACCACCACUGCCACCACUGCUGCUGCUAAACAAAUUCUCCACCAUCCUCAUGUCUCUGUAUCAUGUGUCUCAGGUUCAGAGUCCUGGACAGAAGAGUAGGCUUAGUUGAGCCUGGGUUGUGUGCCCAUGCCCUGGGCCAGCAAGGCAAAUGUCCC